AUACGGAGGGUGCAAGCGUUGUUCGGAAUCACUGGGCGUAAAGGGCGCGCAGGCGGUUUGAUUAGUCAGAUGUGAAAGCCCACGGCUUAACCGUGGAAGUGCAUUUGAAACUGUCAGACUUGAGUAUCAGAGGGGAAAGUGGAAUUCCCGGUGUAGAGGUGAAAUUCGUAGAUAUCGGGAGGAAUACCGGUGGCGAAGGCGACUUUCUGGCUGAAUACUGACGCUGAGGCGCGAAAGCGUGGGGAGCAAACAGGAUUAGAAACCCUGGUAGUCC
rnacentral:rRNA from 1 species